rnacentral:rRNA from 1 species
AGUGAACGCUGGCGGUAGGCCUAACACAUGCAAGUCGAACGGCAGCACAGUAAGAGCUUGCUCUUACGGGUGGCGAGUGGCGGACGGGUGAGGAAUACAUCGGAAUCUACUUUUUCGUGGGGGAUAACGUAGGGAAACUUACGCUAAUACCGCAUACGACCUACGGGUGAAAGCAGGGGAUCUUCGGACCUUGCGCGAUUGAAUGAGCCGAUGUCGGAUUAGCUAGUUGGCGGGGUAAAGGCCCACCAAGGCGACGAUCCGUAGCUGGUCUGAGAGGAUGAUCAGCCACACUGGAACUGAGACACGGUCCAGACUCCUACGGGAGGCAGCAGUGGGGAAUAUUGGACAAUGGGCGCAAGCCUGAUCCAGCCAUACCGCGUGGGUGAAGAAGGCCUUCGGGUUGUAAAGCCCUUUUGUUGGGAAAGAAAAGCAGCAUGUUAAUACCCCGCUGUUCUGACGGUACCCAAAGAAUAAGCACCGGCUAACUUCGUG